rnacentral:tRNA from 1 species
GGGCCCUUAGCUCAGCUGGUUAGAGCGCAUCCCUGAUAAGGAUGAGGUCUCUGGUUCGAGUCCAGAAGGGCCCACCA